GACGAACGCUGGCGGCGUGCUUAACACAUGCAAGUCGAACGAAGUGGCGAACGGGUGAGUAACGCGUAAUCAACCUGCCCUUCAGAGGGGGACAACAGUUGGAAACGACUGCUAAUACCGCAUACUGAAGGAGGGGAUUGCGUCUGAUUAGCUAGUUGGAGGGGGAACGGCCUCCCAAGGCGAGGAUCAGGAGCCGGGCUGAGAGGAUGAACGGCCAUAUUGGGACUGAGACACGGCCCAGACUCCUACGGGAGGCAGCCGUGGGGAAUCUUCCGCAAUGGACGAAAGUCUGACGGAGCAACGCCGCGUGAGUGAUUACGGCCUUCGGGUUGUAAAGCUCUGUUAAUCGGGACGCGGUACCGGAAUAGAAAGCCACGGCUAACUACGUGCCAGCCGCCGCGGUAAUUC
rnacentral:rRNA from 1 species